rnacentral:misc_RNA from 1 species
CGUAUUUGGUGCUGUCGUGAACGUAUCUAAGCCAUCUUUCCAAGUCAAUCAAAUAUAAGUGAUUAUUUUUCAGACUUAAAUCCUACUUAAGCAAAAUAUUUUUAUUCAUGUCAGAACCACAGUCCGCGCUUUUAUUAAAAAAACAAUUAGCAGAAUUAAAUAAAAACCCAGUGGAAGGGUUUUCAGCAGGGCUCAUAGAUGAUAAUGAUAUUUAUAGAUGGGAAGUACUCAUUAUUGGACCUCCGGAUACAUUAUAUGAAGGAGGUUUUUUUAAAGCACACCUACAAUUCCCCAAAGAGUACCCACUGAGGCCACCUCGAAUGAAAUUCAUAACAGAAAUAUGGCAUCCCAACAUUGAAAAAAAUGGUGAUGUUUGUAUAUCAAUUCUACAUGAACCGGGAGAUGAUAAGUGGGGCUACGAAAAAGCAUCAGAACGAUGGUUGCCUGUACACACUGUUGAAACUAUUCUCAUUAGUGUCAUUAGUAUGCUAGCUGACCCUAAUGAUGAAAGUCCUGCCAACGUUGAUGCCGCCAAAGAGUGGAGGGAAAGUUAUUCAGAAUUUAAACGAAAAGUUGCAAAAUGCGUGAGAAAGAGUCAAGAGGAAUGUUUGUAGGGGUGAAAUAAAAUGUCCAAAAAAAAACCACAAAGACUUAUUCAAUUUUGGAGAAACUGCAUACACUGUCUAUUGUCAACAAUAAAUCCACGGACAGCUGAAUCGACUAAAUUUUUGUAGCUGAACUAAAUAUUAAACUAAUUCAAAAUGAAUACAGUGUACUUGCAGUUGAAUAUGAUAAUUACUUUUUAAUUGCAAUGAAAAUAUUAAAAAAACCAUGCGGCAACAUAAUAUAAGAACCAAGUGAAUUUUAUUUGUUCUCGAAAAAUUACUUUCUCAUUAAGGCGACAGUUUUAUAUAAAAUAUUUAUAUCAUUCACUACGAAAACACUGGAUAAAACAUAAAUUGUUGUAAUUAAAAAAAACCAUUUAUAAAAAUUAAGGUAUUAUUUAAGUUUCCAGAAAAAUAAGUCAACAAAUCUACAUACUGUAAAAAUUAAUACUACGAUCUAUACAUUUAAUUUUAAUAGAUGUUGUAAACUCAAGGUCAUUUGCCUUAUAAUCUUUUUUGAGGCAAGUAUUAUCCCAUGGAUAAUUUUAAACAUUUUCUGAUAUUUUCGAUUCCCUUGUAACUCUCAAAAUCGAAGAACAAUAAAUCUUCAUGUUUAUCGAUCGUUACUAUAAUAA